AACCCGUGAUGAGGACCGUUUCUCUGAUAUCCCUUGAACCACUCCCACGCAGCCUUGAAAGUUUCAGUCGGACCCUGAACAAAGGUGGAAAUCUUAGCGCGAAGAU
rfam:Arabis alpina cultivar Pajares Aa.chr8_contig_2884, whole genome shotgun sequence.